AUUGAACGCUGGCGGCAGGCCUAACACAUGCAAGUCGAACGAGUGGCGGACGGGUGAGUAAUGUAUGGGAAACUGCCUGAUGGAGGGGGAUAACUACUGGAAACGGUAGCUAAUAACGCAUACCAUCAGAUGUGCCCAGAUGGGAUUAGUUAGUUGGUGGGGUAACGGCUCACCAAGGCGACGAUCCCUGGCUGGUCUUAGAGGAUGACCAGCCACACUGUAACGUAGACACGGGCCAGACGCCGACGGGAGGCAGUAGUGGGGAAUAUUGCACAAUGGGCGCAAGCCUGAUGCAGCCAUGCCGCGUGUAUGAAGAAGGCCUUCGGGUUGUAAAGCACUUUAAGUUGGGAGGCGUUACCAACAGAAUAAGCACCGGCUAACUUCGUGCCAGCCGCCGCGGUAAUAC
rnacentral:rRNA from 1 species